CGGACAUGUUGGUGGGUGACUGGGUAUAAAUUCUACCAUGAGAGAUUUCUGUGUUCCAUGGUGCAGUGAGGAAGGUGCUGAGACCUUCCCCACAGUCGUAAAAUACUCGGAAACACAAAACCAUGAGGAAGCUGGGGGAGAUUGCCUUCCAAGACAUCCCAAGGCCAACAGCAAUGAAGAACCCCAUCAGGGUUCCAUCAGGUCUCCAGAGAACAAGUUGAAG